GGAAAAUAAAUAAAUAAAUAAAAUUAUAAAAACAAAAAGAAGUUUUAGAUUUACAGAAAUAUUGCAAAGUACAGAAUGACCAUUUUCCCCACACCCAGUUUUCCCUAUUAGUUACAUCUUUUAUUAGUGUGAUACAUUUGUUAAAUUUAAUGAACCGAUAUUGACACGUCAUUAACCAAAGUUCAUAGUUUAUUUAGAUUUCCUUUGCUUUUACCCAAUAGCCUUUUUCUCUUCCAGAAUCCCAUCCAGGAUGCCACAUUACAUUUGGUUGUCCUGUCUCUCUUUUUUUUUUUUUUUUUUUGAGCUAUAAUUCACUUAUAACAUUGUAUUCAUUUUAGGUGUGCAACAUAAUGAUUUGAUAUAUGUAUAUACAGCAAAGUGAUCACCAUCCUAAGUUCACUUAACAUCCAUCACCAUACAUAGUUACAAUUGUUUUUUCUUCUGAUGAGAACUUGCAAGAUCUAUCAUCUUAGUCGUCCUAUCUCUUUAGGCUCCUCUUGGGUAUGGCAGAUUCUCAGGCUUUCCUUGUUUUUGAUGAUCUUGACGGUUUUGAGGAGGACUGGCUCGAUUUUUUGUAGGAUGUCCCCCUAUUGGAAUUCGUCUGAUGUUUUUCUCAUGCUAAGACUGGGCUGAUGGGUUUGGGGGAGAAAGACCAAAGACCAAAGAGGUAAAGUAUGUCGUUCUCUUCAUGUCACAUCAAGGAUACAUACUCUCUGCAUGAUUUAUGCCUCUGGCUGUUGGCUUUGAUCCCCUGGCUGAGGUAGAAUCUGUCAGAUUUCUCCACUACAAACUUACUCCCCCACUUUCUGUAUUGUAUACUUUGGAAGGAAGUUGCCCACACUAAAGAGUGGGGACCUACAUUCCCCCUCCUGAAGGGUGGAUAUCUACAUAAAUUAUUUGGAAUUCUUCUGCAUGGGAGAUCUGUCUCUUUUCCUCCAUUUGCUAGUUUAUCCAAUCAUUUAGUUAUAUCAGUAUGGACUCCUGGGUGUUUAUUUCAUGCUCUGAGUUAAAACCCAAUACUACUUUAUUUAUUGCGUUGCUCAGAUUGUUCCAGCUCUGGCCACUGGGGGCUCUUUCACUUGCCUUCUGUGGCCCUUUGACUUCCAUCCACGUGUUUUGUUUUUUGUGGUUUUCUGUUUGUUUUCUUUGGAGCACUUGCUUAUUUUCUGGCACUACGAGAUGCCCCAGGCUUGUUGCGUGUAUUUCCUGCCCCGGUCCUAGAAUCAGCCAUUUCUCCAAGCCUGUUCCUUUUACUAGAGGAUGGUGUUAGAAACCGAGAUCUGGGUGCUCAGAGUGCUCGUUUCUCCUGAGCUGUUGUUCCUUUUAGGUCAUCAAUAUGUUUUUAAUCACCAGCAAUGCACCCAGUACAGGUGCUCAGCUCUGGGGAUACAGCAGUGACUGUGCCAGAUGUGACAUCUGCCCUCAUGGGACUCACAGUCAACUUGUGGGGACAGACUUAAGAGGACAGCUCUAACACUGACUUAGCUGUGUGACCUUGGGUGAGUUAUUUAAUCUCUCUAAGCUUCAGUGUCCUCAUCCAUGAAAUGAGGGUGAUUGUAAUACUUCAUGAGGGCACUGUGAGAAUUCAGUGAAAUCGUUCACUUUUAGAAUCUCUGAGACAGAGCCUGGCAUAAAGCAUGGAUUAAAUCUUCUUAUUAUUAAUAGUAAUAAGAAAUUACACAAAUAGUUACUAUCUGCAAAGGUUCAGAGUACCAGCACAGCGUGUAACAGGGGGACCUGACUGCAUUUCAGGGUGGCCAGGGAAGGCUCCCCAAGUCCUUGGGGUUGCAGCUGAGGCAAGAAGGGUGAAUCACCAGAAAAAGGAGGGCAGAAUGUUUCUACAGCAAGAACAGCAAGUGCAAAGGCCCUGAGGCAGGCAGAAGCCUGGCAUACUUAGGAACUGAGAGAAGGCUGGUGGUGGAGACAUGGGCAGGAUAGGAGGGUAGUGGGAUUGGAAAGAGCAGGUCACACAGGGCCUGGCUGGCCGUGGUGACUUCAGACCCGAUCCUAAGAGAAAUGGAGGUGACUUGCCCAAGUGCACAUGUCUAGUAAGGACAGAGCCGGGAUUUGAACCCAGGGCUGCUUAGUCUCAGAGAUCUUUAUUUCUCUGGUCUGAAUUUGAGAUAGGAAGUUCUUGUUUUCUGUUUUUUUGGUAAAAAGCAUAGUUUUGGUUCUUAGGGGUCAGAAUCAGAGUACACUCCAGCCACCCAGAUGUCUGUCCCCAACUCUCAAGGGCCCUAGAGCAUUGGGCAGAGAAGUUGGGAUUUUAUCCUGUAGACCAGGAGCUGGCAAAUUACAGCCCGAUUUGGCCCACACCUAUUUUUGCACAGCCUGUGAGCUACGAAUGAUUUUUACAUUUUUAAAUGGUUGGAAAAAAACAAAAGAAGAAUAGCGUUUUGUGACAUGAGAAAUUUACAUGAAAUGCUAUUUCACUGUCCAUCAAGUUUGAUAGUAACACAGCCACGCUUUUGUCUACAUAUUGCCCGUGCUGCUUUCAAGUGACAACAUCAGAGGCAGAUUUGCUCAGGCAGGGCCCACUUGGUGGCUGUGCGAUCUGUGUAGUCACACAGGGCCCGUGCUCCUACUGUCACCAUUUUGAAAUUCUUAAUAAUCUAGGGAUGAGGGUCCCCGCAUUUUGAUCUCGCACUGGCCUCUGAAAAUUCUGUAGCUGAUCUUGGCGACAGAGCCAUAUGGACCACAAAGCCUAAAAUAUUUACUGUCGGGCCAUUUUCAGAAAGAGUAUGGUCCUGCUGUGGUAGGCAGAAUAAUCCUAAUCUUCUGGAAUUUGUGAAUAUGUUACCUGGCAAAAGGGACUUUGCAGAACGGAUGAAGUUAUGGAUCUGGAGAUGGAGAGAUUAUCCUAAAUUAUCUGCAUGAGACCAAUCUCAUCACAAGGGUUCUUAUAAGAGGGAGGCGGGCGGGUCAGAGUCAGAGAAGGAGAUUAACAUUGGAAACAGAGGUCAGAGAUGCCAUUGCCGGCUUGGAAGAUGGAGGACGGGGCACGAGCCAAGGAAUGCAGGCAGCCUCUAGAAGCUAGAAAAGACCAGGAAACAGAUUCUCCCCAGCACCUCCAGAAGGAUGGCAGUCCUGUCUACGCCUUGAUUUUAGCCUGGCAGGUGGCACCACUACGUCAUGGACACAAGUAAAGCAGACAUCCAGCAGAGCAUCUGACGCACGGGGACUACCGUCAGUCAGCAGGCGCAGAAAGAAAAUUCUGUGCUUACCGCCCCAGACGCAGGAAGGGCUCUGCUUCUUAUCUCAGAAUCGUCGCUCCUCGAACACUGCUGCUCGAGAUAAUGGGGGGCACUGACCUGAGUGAGCUUGGCGAGUUUUGUCUUCCAGAAUUAUCUUUCUGGAUCUGACCCAUAACCCUUCCACUCCAGUAUCUUUCUGGCAAGAACAGCAGGGGCCGUUUUAUCUCCCAUAGGGUCAAAGGUUAGUAAAGGCCCCCCAGCUCUCAUUCCCAGGGUCACGGAGUGGCCUGGUUUCCCAUGUCAUCCGGAGUGUUAUUGAUGGUGACUGCUUUCUCCUCUGAGUUCUCACACGGCUACCCUCCUCUUUGCUACAUGACAUGGUCGUAACCACUAUAUCACUUUUUUUUUUUUCACUUUUAAGAUUUGUGUUUUUUCUAAUGCAACCGUUCUUUUAUUUUUUGCUGAGGAAGAUUGGCCCUGAGCUAAGAUCCAUGCCCAUCUUCCUCCAUUUUGUAUGUGGGACGCCGUCACAGCAUGGCUUGAGGAGCGGUGCAUUGGUCUGCGCCCGGGAUUCGAACCUGUGAACCCUGGGCUGCCAAAGCAGAGUGCAUGAACUUGACCACUAUGCCACCAGCCCAUCCUCUGGUGUUCUUUUUCAUGUCAUACGAGUUCUCUUUCUUCCUUUAUCUCUAAAUGUUUUACAUGUAUUUGUCAGGUUAUCUGCUGUGCUUCUUUUAAAAGUUUUUGUUUAAGCGAAAAUUCAGUGGUUUCUAGUAUAUUCACAAAGUUAUACAAACGUCACCACUAUCUCAUUCCAGAACAUUUUCAUCACCCCAAAAAGAAGCCUCAUACCCCUUAGCAGUCACUUCCCAGCCCCUGGCAACCACUAAUCUACUUUCUGACUCUAUGGAUUUGCUUAUUCUGAUCACUUCGUAUAAAUAGAAUCAUACAAUA